UGAACCCUGAAUACAAUGAGGACUGAUUGAGGUCAUUUAUGUUAGUGGCCCAGUAUGCGAGCAAAGAGAAUGGCAUUCCAGAGGUGAGCACCAUGGAGGAGUGAAGAAUAACUGAGGAUUGCAGGGGUCCGGGUGGACCACGGAUAGGUGACAGGACAGUGGAGCUCUGGCCCAGAGCGCCUCAACAAAUGACAAAGGAUGGUCGUCGAGACAAGAGCCUGAGUGUACUCAAAUGUGGCAAUUGGUGCCACGGCCCACCUGCC